ensembl:misc_RNA 7SK 7SK RNA
AGAUGUGAGGGCGAUCUGGCUGCGACAUCUGUCACCCCAUUGAUCGCCAGGGUUGAUUCAGCUGAUCUGGCUGGCUAGGCGGGUGUCCCCUUCCUCCCUCACCGCUCCAUGUGCGUCCCUCCCGAAGCUGCGCGCUUCGUUGAAGAGGACGACCAUCCCUGAUAGAGGAGGACCUGUCUUCGGUCAAGGGUAUACGAAUAGCUGCGCUCCCCUGCUAGAACCUCCAAACAAGCUCUCAAGGGUUGGAUUUCUACUAUGAAACUUGAGAGGUAGUGUAAGAGAGAUAACAUGGAGGGGAAUGAUGGGCUGACUAAAAAGUUGAAAAAGAGUUUGACUUCUAGACUGAAUAGUUU